AUGCAUAUUAUUAGUAAAGUCCAGUCUGCAAUUGAUGGGGUGACAGAGUGGGGAUUUGACUGGGGGUGCAGAUUUUCGGUAGAGAAAACGCAAACUGUAUUUUUCACUAGGAAACGAAUUGAGGAUGGGAUGAAAUUGAGGAUGUAUGGGAAAGAGUUGGAAAGUGUUGGCUCAUUUAAAUAUUUGGGAGUUAUUUUUGAUUCUAGGGUAACGUGGGCAGACAAUAUUAGGAAGAUUGAGGAUAAAUGCAAAAAGGUAAUAAAUGUGAUGAGAUGUUUGACUGGUAGGGAUUGGGGAGCGAGCUGUUCAGCUUUAAAGACUAUAUAUGUAGCUAUGAUUAGAUCUGUGUUUGAUUAUGGGUGUAUAGUGUAUGGGUCAGCCGCAGUGUCUCUCUUGAGAAAGCUGGACGUGAUUCAGGCUAAGGCAUUAAGGGUAUGCAGCGGGGCUUUUAAAUCAUCACCAGUGCCUGCCCUGCAGGUAGAAAUGGGGGAAAUGCCACUGGAGUUGAGAAGGAAACAUUUGAUGGGGAACUAUUGGGCUAAUCUGCGAGGGCACAGUGAGUCUCACCCCACAAAAGGAGUGUUGAAAGAGUGCUGGGUUUAUGGGAAGUGUGAGAGGAAUCAUUUUGGUCGGGUGGGGAAUGAUAUAGCGAAAGAGUUUGGUGUGGGUGAAUUGAAGCUUAGUCCAACAGUGGUAUAUCCAUUAAUGCCGCCAUGGAGGAUGGUGUGGCCAGAGGUGGACUGGUUUGUGUUGGGUAUAAAGAAGAGAGAGAGAGAACAGAUAGACCUGGCUAGUGUUUUUAAUAUUCAUCUUCUUAUAGAGUACAGUGAGUAUGUUUAUGUUUUUACAGAUGGUGCCAAACAACCUGAGACAGGAGCGACAGGGUUUGGAGUAGUUGUUCCAUCAAAAAGAAUAGAGUUUAAUAGAAGAACAUCAGAUAAUUUAAGCGUUUAUACAGUGGAGAUGUUGGGGGUGCUGGUCGCUUUAAAAUGGGUGGAAUCAAGUUCAGUUGGAAAAAUUGUGAUCUGUACAGAUUCAGCAUCAGUUUUGGCAAGCAUGAGGUCUUUUUAUUCAAGUAGUCGCCAAGGUUUGCUGUAUGAAGUUCUACAGUCAAUUACGAGAAUCGUUCAGCAGGGGAGGCAAAUACAUUUUUUAUGGGUUCCAGCUCAUGUAGGGGUGAAGGGAAAUGAGAAAGCCGAUAAGAUGGCAAAGAAGGCAUUGGAGAAGGAAAAAUUAGAAAUGAAUAUCAGUUUAAGUAAGGCAGAAGUUAAAAGCCUGAUAUGGGGAAAAGUUAAGAAGAUGUGGCAAGACAAAUGGGACAGUGAGGAGAAAGGGAGAUAUUUAUAUAAUAUUCAAAAAAGUGUUAAUGUUAAAAUAAGGUAUAGUGGUCAGAGGAAGGAUGAACAAAUUUAG
rnacentral:lncRNA from 1 species